AUCCUCGUAGCUCAAUGGUAGAGCAGUGGCCUCCUAAGCCAAAGGUUGUGAGUUCGAGUCUCGUCGGGGAUG
rfam:Ichthyophthirius multifiliis unplaced genomic scaffold scaff_1120509251368, whole genome shotgun sequence.